rnacentral:rRNA from 1 species
AGAGAACGCUGGCGGCGUGCCUAACACAUGCAAGUCGAGCGGAGAUAGGCGGAAGGUAACUGAAGCUUAUCUUAGCGGCGGACGGGUGAGUAACACGUGGGCAACCUGCCUUGAAGUGGGGGAUAACACCGGGAAAUCGGUGCUAAUACCGCAUAACAUACACAAACUGCAUGGUGAGUGUAUCAAAGGAGCAAUCCGCUUUAAGAUGGGCCCGCGACUGAUUAGCUAGUUGGUAAGGUAACGGCUUACCAAGGCGACGAUCAGUAGCCGACCUGAGAGGGUGACCGGCCACACUGGAACUGAGACACGGUCCAGACUCCUACGGGGGGCAGCAGUGGGGGAUCUUGCACAAUGGGCGAAAGCCUGAUGCAGCGACGCCGCGUGAGCGAAGAAGGCCUUCGGGUUGUAAAGCUCUGUCUGGAGGGACGAACAAAAUGACGGUACCUCCGGAGGAAGCCACGGCUAACUACGUG